UAAGGUCAAACUUAGUAAUUAAUAUUAUAUUCUCUUACUAUUAUUAGUUUAUUAUUAUUGAAUAUGGACUUGAGUUUUGAAUUUUCGAUUAUAUUAAAUUUGAUUAAGGCACAAACCUAAAAAAAUAUAUAAACUUGAAAAAAGUAUGCCAACAGCUUAACAUGCACUCCUUAAAAUUUAAAAAAAAAAACAUUUUAUUGGGCUUUUUUUCUUAGGCACGGCACGUGUGUCGGGCCAGGACUAAGCAAAAAAAAUUAGGCAUGGCAUGGCACGGCACGGCACGACACGGUACAUAGCGGGCAUAGCACGGCACGAGCACGAGCACACAUGGGCCUUAUUUUACCAGCCCAGCCCAUUGGCCAUCUCUACAUAUGCAGUAUUGCAAAUAUGCAAAUUAAGUCAUCUUUAAAAAGUCUAAAUAUUUGCAUUCGCCUUAAUGUUUUUCUCUUAAUGUAAGUUUGAUAAAUAUUACGUAAUAAUUUGGUAAUAACUCUAAAUAAUAAAUUAUUAUCUCAAACAACUUUUGAAAAAUAUUUAUUAUAUUUUAAACUAUAUAGCAUAUAUUUUUAACAAUGUACAAAUAACUAUUACUAUGUGAAGUCUAAUUGAUGGAUCUAGAAAAAUUAUAAUUUAUUACAAUGUGAAGUUUAUUCUUAUUUAUAACUAGUUUAGAUUGAACUAAAAUUUUUUAUGAUUACAUAGAUAUUGUUCUUAUAUAAAGUAUCACGAUAGAAAUGUUUUACUGUAUAUACAAAAAAAUAAAUAACUAGAUUUAUUUUAUCUUACUUACCCCCACUUCUCAAUUAACUGCACUAAAAUUUUAAGCAAUCUUUAUUUGUCAAUAGACCUCAUUUAAUCUCCACUUUAACUUUUCUAGAAAUUUUAUCCUUUUCAUACACCCAACCAUUCAUGAAGAACACGAAGAUCUCCAAUCUAAACAAUUGUCAGGCUGAUUUUUGGUAGCAAAUUCAUUUAAAAGAAGUUCCACUCUCACUAGAGUAAUUCGUGAUUAGCCAUCCACAUUCAAUUCAGAGUAAAUUCUAUGUAUGGUGCUUCUCCAGUCGCUCUGGACAUUAUCAGGCUACUGCCGAAACAACGGCUCGUUGUGGUGUGUAGAAUUUUUAGCAAGAAGUUAAACUGAGAUAGAAGUAGUAAAGAAAGAAUGGAUUUUCUUCUCAUUACCCUUCCAGUAGUUCCCCAUUAAAUUUAUAUAGCCUGAUGCGUAAAUUAGUAAGUGUACUAGUCGGCACAAGUAAUAUAAUGAAGAGUAGAACAUCGUUCCACAGAAAUUGUAUAUUCUAUUAGUUAUCGAAAUUAUUAUAGCCCUAAUUUAUUUGAACAAUCGAAUAAGCGAAUUUAGAUUAAAAUAAAAAUAAAAUAAAAAAGUUAAAAAUUAAAUAAAGAUGCAGGCAGUAAUAGAAAUCACUAAGAGAUUAAGACACUAUGACAUCCGAUUUUACCAUAACCAAUACAAUUUAAUCAUCUAUCUAUGCUAUUAAAAUUUAUUACUCAUGUUGACAGUGAAUUUCUCUAAUCUAUUCAAUAUUUUCUCUCGAAUAAUAUAAAAAAUAUCCUCAUAUAUUAACCCACUAUAUCUCUAUGUGAAUUUAAAUAUGCAAAGAUUCUUUAAGUUCUAUGCAAAUUCUUAGAAAAACUGAAUGAAUCACGUUGGUACAUCUAUGUUUUUCGUUCAAUUCAUGGCAUUUAUAAAAAUACACAAAUCUCCUCUCGGUCUCAUUAUGCACCCUCAAAUCAUUCAAAUAUUGGUCAGAUAUUUAAAAGAAUUAAACACAAUAAUAGACACUCAACCAUAAAAUAAUAAACUAAAAAUAACACAGGUUUAUGAAAUUAAAUUUUCAUAAUUAGGCUACAUCAUAGCCCCAAUAAAAUAAAUUAAUUCAUAGAAAUAUAAAGAGAAUCCAUAAAUUUAAUUGAGAACAUUCAAACAAAAUAAUAAAAAAAAAAAAGAGAAAGAGUAAACACAAAAAGUUGUCUCCCUCCAAUCUCUACAAUCGACUUCUCCAAAUUUGCAGCCGCGGCUUCUCUUUUUUUUUUUUUUUUCUUGCUCUCGGUUUUUCUCUCUAAUAUUCGCGGCUGCCCUGCCCUCCUCUCUUCAUUCGGUCCUCCGUUGCUUCCGCUUGGCCCUUUUAUAUUGCUUCAAUUGUGUCCUUCAAAUCCUUAUAGGGAAAGAAUUAAAAACAAAAGGCAAGCCGCCUUAUUCUUUCAUGCAUGCACGUGACUUGUUCAAUUAAUAAGCUAAUAAAGAUUUGGUCAAAGCCCAUCACAAGAAUGUUUUCUUCUUUUAAUUCAUUCUUCGUAUGAUUUGCCUUAUUAAUUAACUUAUUUCCAAUGCUAAGUCUCCUCAUCUUCACGUGAAAUUCAAUUAAACCUUGGAUGCUUCAAUUUUCUUCCAUUUUAACUCCCAAUACUUUUCUUAAAUUUCCAAUUAAUUUCUUCUUUAAGUUCUCCUUACUUAAAUAUUCUGAUUUAAUUCUUCUUUAUUCCCAAAAUACACCUAAAAUAACAAAAUAUAAAAAUGAAAGUAAAAUUAACAUAAUAAAAAUAACUUAACCUAAAAUUAAGUUAAAGAAUAUAUAAAAAAUAAUAUAUAUAUUACUAGCACAUCAUAGCCUUUGAACUUUACAUACACUAAGUUAAGAAAUAGAACAACAAUAGCAGAAUAAUUUGGAACGUGACUAAGGUCCCCAACUAACAGAAUUCUAACUAGCUUGACUAAGGUUUGAUCAAUUGAUAACGCUGACCAAAUCUUCCACUCUUGCUUGCAAAUCGUGCACGUAACCCCCCAUGCAUAUUAGGGGUGUUUAAUGGUUUAGAUUUAUUGAAUUUUGUCAAACCUAAGUCCAAUCCAUCAUUUAUUGGAUAUUCUAUUUUAGAUCACAUCUGAUCUAAUCAUUAAUUGAAAUAUAAUAUAAUCCAAAGUAGUAAAAAUUAAAAUCCAAUUUAAUUUGAACGAUCAAUUCGAUUAAUCCAAUAGGAUAAAAAAAUUACAAAUAAAAAUCAUCAAUUGCUCUCAAAGUUCAAAUUACUGACAACUAAAAACAAAAAUUCAACUCCUUUAAUAUUUCAUGAUACAUAUUUUUAUUAUCACGUGAUUGAAACAUUAUUGACAUUGGUUGAGACUUACAGUUUGUACUAUGUAGUAGUAUUAUUAUUAUUAUUUGUAAAUUUAUAGUUAUACGAAAUUAGGCUAUAUUUCUUUUAGCAAGUUAAAUACGAAAGUGACAUGUAACUUUUUUUAAAAAAUAAACAAAAUAAAAAUUAAUUGUUUGGAUUGAUUUAUAUUGGAUUUAAACACAUAAAUCCAUAAACUAAUCUAACAACAUUAGAUUUCCCAUUUUGCAACCCAAUUCAAUCCAGUCAAAAGAUCAAUCCGACAAAAAUUAGAUUGGUUUGGAUUGAAUCAAUUGGUUUGAUUUGAUUAAAUUAGAUCUUGAACACCCCUACUGCAUACGGAGCACAUGUCACAUUGUCAUUGCCAGUGCAUGGGUUCCAUUCGUUGCUAAAGAUUUUUCUUUUUCUUUUUUUCUUUUUUUUUUCCAAAAAAUGAGGCUUCCAAUUGUUUGUUAUUUUACGAAUUACUUAAACUUUUAUUUCAACUUUGAUACACACACACACACACACAUCCAGGCUUAGCCGAAAACUUACUAAAUCAAACUGUAUUUUGGCAUAAGUAUAUAGCUAACUAAGUACAAUUAUAAAAAACUAAUUGAUUACAAUUAUUGAAUUAUAUUAUUUCAAUGAAGUUAAUUUAAGAUUUUAGUACUUAUUAUUUAUUUUUAAAAAUUUUAAAUUAUAUAAUUAUUUGAACUUAACCGCUUCUAUAUUGAAUAUCUGACUUUGCCAUUGCCUAAAGUUUUUUGUCCACAAUGAUACACGGCCUAUCUUUAGUUAGAAUUGCCUAAGAAUAAUAGAUUUAUGUACAAUAUGUUACAUGUCUAAUAGGAACAUUCGAAUUUGGACUUUUUUGCUCAAAUGGAACAUUACUUGCCAAUGCCAUGCUCAUUUAUAUCUCACGUAAAUUAGGUUCAUAAGAUGUGAGUUGCUUGUCACUUGCUCGCCCAAUUAUCCAAUGUGGGGAAAUUUAGCUCUUGUUGGUCGGGCUGGGCUCCUUUUCAGCCCGGUUAGCAAAAAAAAAGGAUAUGUAUACCUAUUUGGAGAAUUAGUUACAAGGACCUUAU
rnacentral:lncRNA from 1 species